rnacentral:rRNA from 1 species
AUACGGAGGGUGCAAGCGUUACUCGGAAUCACUGGGCGUAAAGCGCGCGCAGGCGGUCUUUUAAGUUGGAUGUGAAAGCCUACGGCUCAACCGUAGAACUGCAUCCAAAACUAUUAGACUUGAGUGUGGGAGAGGAAGAUGGAAUUAGUUGUGUAGGGGUAAAAUCCGUAGAGAUAACUAGGAAUACCAAAAGCGAAGGCAAUCUUCUGGAACACUACUGACGCUGAGGCGCGAAAGCGUGGGGAGCAAACAGGAUUAGAAACCCUAGUAGUCC